UGCACACAUUUUUACAUACUAUUUUACCUGGUUUCUCAGCUCAGACCAAAAGUUAUUGGAAGUAGAGGAGGAGGUGGACAUGCAUCUGUAGGUAUUUCUGCACGGGGCAGAAUAUAGUAAUUUGGCAAUGUUAAUUCUAAAUUCUUGGGUACGCGUUAAAUUUCAUUUACUCUGUUUAAGAAGGCAAGAGAUGGGGCUGGGGAUGUGGCUCAAGUGGUAGCGUGCUCACCUAGCAUGCGUGAGGCACUGGGUUCGAUUCUCAGCACUGCAGAGAAACAAAAUAAAGAUAUUGUGUUCACCUAAAACUAAAAAAUAAAUAAAAGAAAAAAAAAAGAAGGCAAGAGAUGUAGACUACAGCUUAGAAAGUGACUAACAUGUAAUUUGGUGUUUUGAGUAUCUUAUCAUAUGGCCAUUAUUUACUAACAUGAUAGUUUGCAUGACUGCCAGCCAAAUAAUAAAAACCAACCCAGUGAGACCCUGUCCCUAACUGAAAUACAAAAUAGGGCUGGGGAUGGAAGGGUCCCUGAGCUCAAUCCCUGGUACAUACACAUACACAUACACACACACACUAAUGAUAAGAAUCAAGAGUAGCAUACCCGGUACUGUUAACUCAUUUAAUCCCCAACAACCCAGGGAGGAUUAUUAUGGGCAAUUCCAUUUUAUAGAUAUGGAGGGUGAGGCUCAAAGAGGAAUGCAACAUACCCAAGGCCACACAGCCAGUGAAAGCUGGAAGGGAAUUUGAACUCAGUCCAAUAGAUGAACAGCCAUCACCCAUCUGUUCUCUGAUUCAGCUGUGAUUGUCCUCCUGUGUCUCAGGGGACAGCAGCCCUAUUGGGUGUGUCUCAAGCUAUUCUUUGAUUUGUCCGCUUUCCUCUAGUUCCCUGGGAAGGUUCUGGGUGAUGAAGUUGCCUUUCAGGAUGCUGGAUGCAUUGUCAGGGCCCAUGGCAUCCAGGUGGGUGGCAUUUGCUAAUGACUAGCUCCCUUCUGGAACCAAAGAAAAGCGCAGCACGUGUCUCCAAGCCCUGCAGAGAAUCCUGACCACCUGGCUAUGCUUGGGAGGUGCCCACUUCAUCUCGCAACCAGAGAUAAAGUGUAGGGCCGUCUCCCUGUGCAGCCCAGUCCAGCCAGAGGGCAGGAGGCGACAGUCCCUGGGAAACAGGGUCCUUCCUGGCCAGGCCAGCACAGAGGCUGUUCUGCAGGCUGCCCUGAGCUUGAGGGCUGGGUGCAUGCAGGAUCUGUUGGGGGAGUCCAAGGCAUGAUCUCCUGGCUAGCUGCUGCCUGCCACCGGAGGCCACAGGCCCCUGGUGGAACACUGGUGCCACCUUCAGAAGAGAAGUCACGGGUGGUAGCAGUGUGGAUGGAAAGGGCCUGAGUGACCCAGAGCCAGGGUCCAUGUUUCAGACCCACCUGUGACUUGCUCUGUGAAACUGGCCAGUCGCUUCUCUCCUUUAGGUCCCAGGUGCCCCACUCUGCAGUAGCAGGGCAGGCAGUGGCUUGGAAACAUGAACGCACCCCACUGUGAAAUGGGGUCACCAAACACAGUGAACUCCCCUUCUGUUAAACUGUUGGUGUGUACCUUUGCUUUUGUAUAUAUGCAUACACAAAAGUAUAGGAAGAUAAUAAAAGGUUGUAAACGGUGGCCUUAGGUGGUGGGAUUAGAGUAUUUAUUUUUCUUUAUUGAGCUGUUUAUUGGCUGACUCAUUUAAAAAAAAUACCCAAGUUUGGAUGCAGGAUGUCAGAUUCCAGGUGUGGACAGAGCUCCUGUCUUCUCGUUGCUGCUGCGUCUGCCACGGAAGCCUGACAGCGAUGGCCUCCCUUGUCCUGGAGACUCAGCCAGAUGGCUUCUGCAGGGACCUCGCCCACCUGCCAGCAGAUCUUGGUAGCUAUACUUGCCCAGGGGUUGGCAGCACCGGACGCCUGGGGGGGCUUCCAGCCAGGACCUGGUGGUGCCGACGUCAUUCUCAGAAUAGCCCAUCCAGGAGUCCUGUCCUCUGGGCUUCUUCACCUCUCCCUCUGCACCCACCUGCCACCCCCAGGUUCAACAGAGUGACAGCCCUGGGGAGGAGAGAGUCAAAGCACAGCGAGGAGGUGCCUGAGCUGUGGGGCUCUCCUCUGCUUUCCACUCCCUCGCCAGAUGUUCUCUGGGUCAUUCCUGUCCCAUGCUGGUUCCCUCUGCUCUCCUCCAGUCUCCGGGGAAAUCCUGCCUGGCUGUCAAGGCCAUGGGCUGAUGAAGCGUGCUUUCCGUGCUUUCCGCACUCCUUAAGUUUUUCUGGAUAACGCCUGUCUCAUGCCAGGUGGUCCUGGAAGGGCUGACACAGACCAAUCCAGCAUCCUCUCUCCCCGGUCACAGGGUUGGGCCAAGGCAUGGGCUCAGGCAUGGGUGACGGGACCCAACCAGGAUUAACCAGACCCUUCCCUGAGAUUGAUGAGAGAAUCUUGCAAGAGGAAAGUGUUCUUUUUUUGUCACGUCACCUGGGAUGUUAGGGGUUUGUGACUGCCAUUGGCCAUCUUGCCUGCACAGAAAGAGCACUGCCAUGCAAAAGAAAAUCAUAUACUGUCAGAGCCCUAAGGACAAUAUUG
rnacentral:lncRNA from 1 species